UACGGGGGGGGCAAGCGUUGUUCGGAAUUACUGGGCGUAAAGGGCUCGUAGGCGGCCAACUAAGUCGGACGUGAAAUCCCCAGGCUCAACCUGGGAACUGCGUCCGAUACUGGAUGGCUUGAAUUCGGGAGAGGGAUGCAGAAUUCCAGGUGUAGCGGUGAAAUGCGUAGAUAUCGGGAGGAACACCUGUGGCGAAAGCGGCUCACUGGACCACAACUGACGCUGAGGCGCGAAAGCUAGGGGAGCAAACAGG
rnacentral:rRNA from 1 species